rnacentral:snRNA from 1 species
AUACUUACCUUAAGAUGCCAAUGGAGAUCAUGAAGUCUAUUGGUCGGAUACGGGGUUCUAAAGGAAAUGCUGGAAUAGAACUUAUCUCCUUCUAGUGUUAUCCUUUUCGGAGGAUAUCAUUCGACUGGAGAUGGGUUUUUCAGUUGACAUAUUUUCUCUGUACAGCUUUCCUGCACAUAAGCACACAUUGAGCGAGCCUGGUAUCUGCUGACGUCUUGUUCCCCCGUCAUUCUUCUGGUAACUUGAGAUUUUCUCUAGUGCCAGUUGAAUGGCCCUUUUUCCCUUCUGCCUGGAGAAGCAUGGUACUGAUUACAAGUCAGUGCUGGGGGAGCCAUCACUAUGAUCUGUAAGUUUCAUUUCAAUGUUCUGGAUUAAACAGUGUUGGGCGUGUAUUUGCUCCUAUUGAUCUGUUGUUCAGACUUGGUACGAAAGUACCUCGUUCAAACAAUUGGAGGUAAUAGGUAUGUGAUAUACAUUUCCAAUGUUGUUCCAGUUCAGGAAGCUUGCAAAGAAAGUUCAUGGUCGUGGUAAAGACGGGUGGAUCUUAAAAUUUUUGAGAAUUUG